CGUGAAGCCAACCUCAAGAUGAGAUUUCCCAUAGCGUAAGCUAGUAAGAUCCCUUGAAGAACACAAGGUUGAUAGGUUGGGGGUGUAAGCAUGGUAACAUGUUCAGCUGACCGAUACUAAUAGAUCGAGGGCUUGACCAA
rnacentral:rRNA from 1 species